GAUGAACGCUGGCGGCGUGCCUAAUACAUGCAAGUCGAGCGAACAGACGAGGAGCUUGCUCCUCUGACGUUAGCGGCGGACGGGUGAGUAACACGUGGAUAACCUACCUAUAAGACUGGGAUAACUUCGGGAAACCGGAGCUAAUACCGGAUAAUAUAUUGAACCGCAUGGUUCAAUAGUGAAAGACGGUUUUGCUGUCACUUAUAGAUGGAUCCGCGCCGCAUUAGCUAGUUGGUAAGGUAACGGCUUACCAAGGCAACGAUGCGUAGCCGACCUGAGAGGGUGAUCGGCCACACUGGAACUGAGACACGGUCCAGACUCCUACGGGAGGCAGCAGUAGGGCAUCUUCCGCAAUGGGCGCAAGCCUGACGGAGCAACGCCGCGUGAGUGAUGAAGGUCUUCGGAUCGUAAAACUCUGUUAUUAGGGAAGAACAAAUGUGUAAGUAACUAUGCACGUCUUGACGGUACCUAAUCAGAAAGCCACGGCUAACUACGUG
rnacentral:rRNA from 1 species